AUUCAAAUGAUCAACUCAUUAUCAAGCUUCAAGUGAUACCUUGUAACUGGAGAUUCCUUCAAAACGAUUGCCUACAGUUACCGUGUAGGGCACUGCAAGGUUGGGUGACCAGGGUCAUCUGGGACUGCCUCCUGGAGGAAUUCAGAUGUGUGAAGGCUACCUGUGUCCUGCGUAACUUCAUGAGGAUGGACACGCGGACCAGGAGGGGAUCUGCAGAUCGCCGCCGUGUCCCAGAGGAGGAGUCUGCUGCUCUGCAGGAUGUUUCAAGGAUGGGGUCCAACAACGCAGCAAGAGAGGCAAUCCGUGUUCGGGAGAUCUUCACCUCCUACUUCUUCAAAGAGGGUGCUGUUCCCUGGCAACACCAUAGACUACACUAUGCACAACCAAAGGCUCUUUUAAGAGGGUGCUGUUCCCUGGCAACACCAUAGACUACACUAUGCACAACCAAAGGCUCUUUUAAGAGCCAUUCACAUUGCAAUAAGAGUAUUCUUCCAUUUACUUAGCAAUGUCAACUGCAGUUAUUCAAUUCACAGUUUCUCUCCCUUUAACUGUGGCUCCUUCCACCUUCAACGAAUAGGCAAGAGGGCCAACCAUAGAGAAUAGUAAGACACUUCCUUAUUUCUAUAACUACGCUAUAUUGUUUGUCCUCGUUCGUCCGUUCAUGUUUUUCAGCAUAAAGUACUCUGCAGCCACUUAGUGUGGUGUGGACACCAGGUGAGGCCACACACAGAUUCCUGUUGAACACUGUGGCUUUACCUACCUUAUUUUCUCAAUAACAGUCUCUCUCCUUCACUUCAUCCCUCUCUCCCCUUCUCCCUAAAUCCUCUAGGUUAUAUCAUCUGUGUCGGUGAACCCCUCCUGCAUCUGAACUGGCUACAUAGAGGGCACAGCAUGGUCAGAGAUAUGUUUUGAUGUGAGAGGAUGCCAACCCCCAGUCCCAUCAUCGCCACCUCACCUGCUUUGAAGAUAACCUUUGGGAAGACUAGAGACACUGUUAUGUAAUUGUGAUGAACUGAGAGAAUAUUUAUGUAGCACUGUGAUUCAUUAAUCAUGUGCUGCCUUCCCUGCUCCUAUGUGCUUACCUCUUUCCCUUUCUGUCUUUUACACCUCUCCCACCACCACCUCUUUCUUCCUCUGUUUUUAUAAUUCACAACAGAUGUGCAUUGAAGGACAGAUUGAACUUGUAUUUAUAACACUUGGAUAAUGAGCUUUUCAAUAAAGCGUUUCACAUUCUCUA